CCCGCUGAACUUAAGCAUAUCAAUAAGCGGAGGAAAAGAAACUAACAAGGAUUCCCCUAGUAACUGCGAGUGAAGCGGGAAGAGCUCAAAUUUAAAAUCUGGCCGCCUUUGGUUGCCCGAGUUGUAGUCUGGAGAAGCGUUUUCCGUGUUGGACCGUGUACAAGUCUCUUGGAACAGGGCGUCAUAGAGGGUGAGAAUCCCGUCUUUGACACGGACUACCAAUGCUUUGUGAUGCGCUCUCAAAGAGUCGAGUUGUUUGGGAAUGCAGCUCAAAAUGGGUGGUAAAUUCCAUCUAAAGCUAAAUAUAGGCGAGAGACCGAUAGCGAACAAGUACCGUGAGGGAAAGAUGAAAAGCACUUUGGAAAGAGAGUUAAACAGUACGUGAAAUUGCUGAAAGGGAAACGCUUGAAGUCAGUCACGUCUGCCGGGACUCAGCCUUGCUUCUGCUUGGUGCACUUCCUGGUUGGAUGGGCCAACAUCAAUUUUGACCGUUGGAGAAAGGCUUUGGGAAUGUGGCACCUUUGGGUGUGUUAUAGCCCUUCGUCGUAUACGGCGGUCGGGAUUGAGGACUGCAGCACGCCUUUAUGGCCGGGGUUCGCCCACGUACGUGCUUAGGAUGUUGGCGUAAUGGCUUUAAGCGACCCGUCUUGAAACACGG
rnacentral:rRNA from 1 species